GAUGAACGCUGGCGGCGUGCCUAAUACAUGCCAGUCGAGCGAACAGACGCGGAACUUGCUCCACUGACGUUAGCGGCGGACGGGUGGGUAACACGUGGAUCACCUACCUAUGAGAAUGGGAUCACUUCGGGAAACCGGAGCUCAUACCGGCUAAUAUAUUAAACCGCAUGGUUCAAUAGUGAAAGACGGUUUUGCUGUCACUUAUAGAUGGAUCAGCGCGGCAGUAUCUAGUUGGUAAGGUCACGGCUCACCAAGGCAACGAUCUGUAGCCGGUCUGAGAGGAGGACCAGCCACAUUGGGACUGAGCCACGGCCCAGACUCCUACGGGAGGCAGCAGUGGGGAAUUUUGGGCAAUGGGCGCAAGCCUGAUCCAGCAAUGCCGCGUGAAGGAAGAAGGCCUUCGGGUUGUAAACUGCUUUUGUAAGGAACGAAACGGCUCUGGUUAAUACCCGGGGCUAAUGACGGUACCGUAAGAAUAAGCACCGGCUAACUACGUG
rnacentral:rRNA from 1 species